rnacentral:tRNA from 1 species
ACCGAAAUAGCUCAGUUUGGAGAUUGUUAGACUCUAUAGAUCGAAAGAUUCCUGGUUCGAUUCCGGGAUUUGAUA